rnacentral:ncRNA from 2 species
GACGAGAUAAACCAGCACUCGAGC